CUGCAAUCAGAAUUAUCUUUUCAGGACAAAGCUUGGACCUGAGACCUUUCUAAGAAGUCUUGAAUUGACCACGUUUACAAGUUGAUAAUAAGCCUCAGUGAAAUGAGCACUCUUAUGUCUGAAACAGAAAGCCUCCGGUAUGCCAGCAUGGACCCAAGGAGAAUUUUGUCCCGAAAAUAGAAGUUCUCAAUUUCCAAUGGCUGCAGUUGCCCGCAUUGAUCUCCAAUAUAGUGGUGACAUCCUGCUGAGCUGCUGAUUUGUGCUCCUUGUCUCCUUAGCAGCACUUGGAUGGCCACUGACCCUAAAGUGCCCCCUGUACGUUACUUUCUCUGUUUCCAUGGCUACCCAAACCUCUUUGCAAUAUUAUUUCAAUAAAAAUCAAGUUACAGUUAAAUCA
rnacentral:lncRNA from 10 species